CCUACGGGAGGCAGCAGUGGGGAAUAUUGGGCAAUGGGCGCAAGUCUGACCCAGCAACGCCGCGUGAAGGAAGAAGGCUCUCGGGUUGUAAACCUCUUUUUUUAGGGACGAAGCAAGUGACGGUACCUGAGGAAUAAGCCUCCGCUCACUACGUGCCAGCAGCCGCGGUUAUACGUAGGCGGCAGGCGUUAUCCGGAUUUACUGGGUGUAAAGGGCGUGUAGGCGGGAAAGUAAGUCAGAUGUGAAAAGCAUGGGCUCAACCUGUGGCCUGCAGUUGAAACUGUUUGUCUUGAGUACGGGAGAGGUAGACGGAAUUCGUGGUGUAGCGGUGAAAUGCGUAGAUAUUAGGAGGAACACCGGUGGCGAAGGCAGUCUGCUGGACAGCAACUGACGCUGAGGCGCGAAAGCGUGGGGAGCGAACAGGAUUAGAUACCCUUGUAGUC
rnacentral:rRNA from 1 species